rnacentral:lncRNA from 1 species
AAUCUUUUUGAAGAAUGUGAACAGUACCAUUCACUGGUAAAAAAUGUAACCAAGAGAGUUCUGCAGUGUUGUUAAUUUCUGCUGGAUAUUCACAGUAGGAAUUAUACUUGUAAAUUUUGUGUGUAUGUGAAAAGUCUUAAUUUGAAAGUUUGCUAAGCAACAAAUCCUUGAAAUAGAACGGGCUGCAACUCUGCUCUGCCUGGAAAGUACACAUGCAUGAAGAAAUUGGAGAGCUGCUUCAUCAGUGCCAAUCCAUACUGUGCUUGGUCUCAUGAAAAGGAUCUUAUUGAUGAAUUAGUGCAGCUGCCCUCCCAGCCAUGGAAGAAUACCUCAUACAAAAAAAUCCAUAGGUGACUAAAAAGUGUGAGGAUGAAUUGCUGUCUGCUAAGGGAAGUUUGUCAUCUGAGGUAUUCCUGCACAUCUGGUCACCUUCCACGGAGUGCUUAAAGAGAACCACGGUACCAGAGAGGAGAGCACCUUUCAAAGGACUCGCUGGAUUUCUGAUGGCAAACAUCAAAACAAAACGAGCUUUGUUUCAAAGACACACAAAGUGAUGGUGAAAGGGAAGUGGAAACUUCAGCCAUGACCCCCACAGAAACAACAGGACAUCCAGUAAGUUCUGUGGUAGAUUCAACUGCAGAUUGCAUUACCCAAGCAGCAGAGUGAGAGAGCUGAGGAAACCCAAA